rnacentral:rRNA from 1 species
GUGAGGAAUUUUCCGCAAUGGGCGAAAGCCUGACGGAGCAAUGCCGCGUGAAGGAUGAAGGCCUAUGGGUUGUAAACUUCUUUUCUCAGAAAAGAAUUAUGACGGUAUCUGAGGAAUAAGCAUCGGCUAACUCUGUGCCAGCAGCCGCGGUAAGACAGAGGAUGCAAGCGUUAUCCGGAAUGAUUGGGCGUAAAGCGUCUGUAGGUUGUUUAAAAAGUAUUCUGUCAAAGAUUAGGGCUUAACCCUAGAUAGGCAGAAUAAACUUUUAAGCUAGAGUUUGGUAGAGGCAGAGGGAAUUCCCGGUGGAGCGGUGAAAUGCGUAGAUAUCGGGAGGAACAACAAAGGCGAAGGCACUCUGCUGGGCCAAUACUAACACUGAGAGACGAAAGCGAGGGGAGCAAAUGGGAUUAGAUACCCCGGUAGUCC